rnacentral:tRNA from 1 species
GGGCCCGUGGUCUAGUUGGUUAUGACGUCGCCUUUACGAGGCGAAGAUCAUGCGUUCGAAUCGCAUCGGGCCCA